GGCCUUGUGGCCCAAUGGUUAAGGCGCCUGACUACGAUUACACUACUGAGUAAAUCAGGAGAUUCCAGGUUCGAGUCCUGGCAAGGUCA